rnacentral:rRNA from 1 species
GGGUGCGGGUUCACAGUCAUGUCAGUCGUGGGCAUACAGCCAUUGGGGGUACACGAGCGGCGAACGGGUGAGUAACACGUGAGCAACCUGCCCCUGACUCCGGGAUAAGCGGUGGAAACGCCGUCUAAUACCGGAUACAACCUCCCACCUCAUGGUGGAGGGUGGAAAGUUUUUCGGUCAGGGAUGGGCUCGCGGCCUAUCAGCUUGUUGGUGGGGUAACGGCCUACCAAGGCGAUUACGGGUAGCCGGCCUGAGAGGGCGACCGGCCACACUGGGACUGAAACACGGCCCAGACUCCUGCGGGAGGCAGCAGUGGGGAAUAUUGCGCAAUGGGCGAAAGCCUGACGCAGCGACGCCGCGUGGGGGAUGACGGCCUUCGGGUUGUAAACCUCUUUUACCACCAACGCAGGCCCCUGGUUCUCUGGGGGUUGACGGUAGGUGGGGAAUAAGGACCGGCUAACUACGUGCCAGCAGCCGCGGUAAUACGUAGGGUCCGAGCGUUGUCCGGAAUUAUUGGGCGUAAAGAGCUCGUAGGCGGCGUGUCGCGUCUGCUGUGAAACACCGGGGCUUACCUCCGUUUCUGCAUUGGAUACGGGCAUGCUAGAGGUAGGUAGGGAAGACUGAAAUUCCGGGUGUAGCGGUGAAGUGCGCACAUAUCAGGGAGAACACGGGGUGGCGAGGGGGGUCUCUGGGGCCUUACCUGACGCUGAGGGAGCGAAAGCAUGGGGAGCGAACAGGAUUAAAUACCCUGAUAGUCCAUGCCGUAACGUUGGGCGCUAGGUGUGGGGACUUUCCACGGCUUCCGCCGCGGUAGCUAACGCCAUCAGCGCCCCCGCUUGGGGAGUACGGGUCGCAGGCUAAACUCAAAUGGAUUUGAGGG